UACGUAGGGUGCGAGCGUUGUCCGGAAUUAUUGGGCGUAAAGAGCUCGUAGGCGGUGUGUCACGUCGGCCGUGAAAACCUGGGGCUUAACUCUGGGCGUGCGGUCGAUACGGGCAUCACUAGAGUUCGGCAGGGGAGACUGGAAUUCCUGGUGUAGCGGUGAAAUGCGCAGAUAUCAGGAGGAACACCGAUGGCGAAGGCAGAUCUCUGGGCCGUAACUGACGCUGGAGGAGCGAAAGCGUGGGGAGCAAACAGG
rnacentral:rRNA from 1 species